UACGUAGGGUGCAAGCGUUGUCCGGAAUUAUUGGGCGUAAAGAGCUCGUAGGCGGUUUGUCGCGUCUGCUGUGAAAUCUGGGGGCUCAACCCCCAGCCUGCAGUGGGUACGGGCAGACUAGAGUGCGGUAGGGGAGAUUGGAAAUCCUGGUGUAGCGGUGGAAUGCGCAGAUAUCAGGAGGAACACCGAUGGCGAAGGCAGAUCUCUGGGCCGUAACUGACGCUGAGGAGCGAAAGCAUGGGGAGCGAACAGG
rnacentral:rRNA from 1 species